rnacentral:rRNA from 1 species
AGGACGAACGCUGGCGGCGCGCCUAACACAUGCAAGUCGAACGGAGUUGUUGGAACUGAAGUUUUCGGAUGGACGUACUGACAACUUAGUGGCGAACGGGUGAGUAACGCGUGGGUAACCUGCCUUUCAUGGGGGACAACAGUUGGAAACGACUGCUAAUACCGCAUAAUGUAUUUUGACCGCAUGAUCGAAAUACCAAAGCUUAAUGUGCUGAAAGAUGGUCUCGCGUCUGAUUAGCUAGUUGGUGAGGUAACGGCUCACCAAGGCGACGAUCAGUAGCCGGUCUGAGAGGAUGAACGGCCACAUUGGGACUGAGACACGGCCCAGACUCCUACGGGAGGCAGCAGUGGGGAAUAUUGCACAAUGGAGGAAACUCUGAUGCAGCGAUGCCGCGUGAGGGAAGAAGGUUUUCGGAUUGUAAACCUCUGUCUUCAGGGACGAUAAUGACGGUACCUGAGGAGGAAGCUCCGGCUAACUACGUG